UACAACGGCUCAAUCAGGACAUCCGUGUGCGGUCACGUGACCCGGAAGCACGUGGAGGGAGCGGGCUAGUGAGAAGAGCCGAGUCCCCCAAUGACCGCUGAGUGUCCGUCUGAGCCCCGCCCACCGACCCACACCUACCGACCGGAUCGGCCGACCGAGUGUGGGGGAGGAGUUUCCACCGAGAGCCUCCAGAUCACCGCAGAGGGAAGAACACUGAGUGAGGACCCCCGGACUACGCCUCCUGCACCUCCCAGCCAGAUCGCACGGCGAAGAGAUGAGCGUCACCCCACACUGCACCCUCUAAACCCACACCCCACAG